CCCUCCGUAGCUCAAUUGGAAGAGCAAGCGCAUCCUAAGCGCUAGGUUGCAGGUUCGAGCCCUGCCGGGGGGA
rnacentral:tRNA from 1 species